GAUGAACGCUGGCGGCGUGCCUAAUACAUGCAAGUCGAGCGAACGGACGAGAAGCUUGCUUCUCUGAUGUUAGCGGCGGACGGGUGAGUAACACGUGGAUAACCUACCUAUAAGACUGGGAUAACUUCGGGAAACCGGAGCUAAUACCGGAUAAUAUUUUGAACCGCAUGGUUCAAAAGUGAAAGACGGUCUUGCUGUCACUUAUAGAUGGAUCCGCGCUGCAUUAGCUAGUUGGUAAGGUAACGGCUUACCAAGGCAACGAUGCAUAGCCGACCUGAGAGGGUGAUCGGCCACACUGGAACUGAGACGCGGUCCAGACUCCUACGGGAGGCAGCAGUAGGGAAUCUUCCGCAAUGGGCGAAAGCCUGACGGAGCAACGCCGCGUGAGUGAUGAAGGUCUUCGGAUCGUAAAACUCUGUUAUUAGGGAAGAACAUAUGUGUAAGUAACUGUGCACAUCUUGACGGUACCUAAUCAGAAAGCCGCGGCUAACUACGUG
rnacentral:rRNA from 1 species